UUGUCUACAAGUUCAAGUUGUUUUUAAAUCAAUUUAUAGUCUUAGUUGCAUGUAAAUUGCCCCUCCUAAUAUUGUUAUCCAACAAGAAGUCACACUCUGUCACUAAAAUAAAAUAGUCUACGACUCAAAGUGUAUGGAAUGAAUCGGUUAUUAAGACUUUUGAACGUUCCAUUGUCAUUUUCAUUAGUCCCCCCUAAGAAGGAAUAAAUUGGAAGACUCU
rnacentral:lncRNA from 1 species